GAUGAACGCUGGCGGCGUGCCUAACACAUGCAAGUCGAGCGGAAAGGUGCGGAGCUUGCUCGACUGACGUUAGCCGCGGGCGGGAGAGAAACGCGUGGAUCCCCUCCCUAUAAGUAUGGGAUCAACAGGGGAAAUCGGAGCUCAUACGGUAUAAUAUAUUGAACCGCAGGGUGCAAUGGUGAGAGACGGCUGUGCGGUCGCUUAUAGAUGGAUCCGCGCCGCAUUAGCUAGUUGGUAAGGUAACGGCUUACGAAGGCAACGAUGCGUAGCCGACCUGAGAGGGUGAUCGGCCACACUGGAACUGAGACACGGUCCAGACUCCUACGGGAGGCAGCAGUAGGGAAUCUUCCGCAAUGGGCGAAAGCCUGACGGAGCAACGCCGCGUGAGUGAUGAAGGUCUUCGGAUCGUAAAACUCUGUUAUUAGGGAAGAACAGAUGUGUAAUUAACUAUGCACGUCUUGACGGUACCGAAUCAAAAAGCCACGGCUAACUACGUG
rnacentral:rRNA from 1 species